rnacentral:misc_RNA from 1 species
CAAUAAGGAUUUAGAAAUUAAAAAUAAAAAAAAAAAUCUCAAAUAUAGAGGACAAUUAUAUAUUUCAUCCCUGAAGUGUGAGUUAAGGGUACAAGUAUAGGAGACGACAAUAAUUUUUAGUCUCCAAGUGUUAAAAUUAGAAACAUCUUAAGCUUUUUUACAUAAUUAUAUAAUUAUAUGAAAUCUCAAAAUUAUACACAAUGAAUUGGGAUUUAUUUUCAACAGAGUCAAGUCACCUGUACUAGCUAAAAAAAUUUACUUUAGAAGUGGACAAAAUAAAACACAUAGUAGUUUAAAAGAAAAUAAAAUAAGUUAUAAUAUUAUUUAAAAAUUAUUUGAAUUUUUUUGUAAUUUUACUGACCAAUUUUUUGAAGGAAAUAUUAAAUAUGGUUGUUAUUAGGAAUAGAAAUAAAAUUUAUAAAAUUUUGGGAGAAAAAUUUAAUUUGAACUUGGACUCAAGAGAAAAAUUAUAGAAGUUUUGGGGUGGAAAAUAGGAUUUUUUGAAAGUUCAAUGACCAAAAUGAAAUUUGUUUAAAAAGUUGGACAGCUGGCACCUCCCUCCAGCAGAUAAAAGGAAAAGGAAAAAAAAAUAAAAUCCUAGAUAUAUCACUAUUUACUACCAAAGGCUAACACUAUAUUUACAAUCUUUAGAAAUUAUUUUUGAUUUGGCCGUUAAAGUAUUCACCGUUACAUCACACUUAACCUUAACGGUGAUUUCCCACGUCUUAACGGCGCCAACUUUAACUUUAACGGGAACUUUAAUGUUAACCUUAAACGGAACUUUUCCUUUCAUCUGUUCAUUCCUUAACGCCGUUUUAACGGCGUUACCAAGCAAGACGUUUGAUCCUUUUAGCGGCGUCUGAAAAACAGUUAUGUUAGUCGAAGGCUGAUAGAACUCCGGCAACUCGCCGUUAGAGAGACGGACAUCGGAGUAGAAUACGGUGACAGAGCUUCCUUUCCGGUAGUAAAUUCCGAUCUUAUUGUUAGGAUUUUCAGCUCGGAUAGUAACGUCGAAUUCCGGCGAUACCGGAGACGACGAAGUUAAGUUGAAAUUCUUAAUCGCGACGUCGGAGAUAGUGUAUUUUGGAGCUUCAGGACGGAAGACGAGGUAGACAACAGCAGCAGUGAUUCCAAGUGCGAUAAUGAGAAUUAGAAGGAGAGAUAAAGUAUAGCAAACGCACCGGCAACAGCAGCUCCGACGAGGCUUUCGUUUUCUCAAAGCUUCGUAACGUCGAGAAUUCCCCGGUGGAGGAUACCGAUAGAUUUGAUCUUUUGGUACUUGAACAACAUACGUUCCCGGCGACGGCAGCACAUGCUUUGUCUGAGUUCCCGUAGCUACUCCGCCGGAGUUUUUUGACGAAAUCGGUGAACUCGCCGGCGAUGAAUCUCGAGGAUGUACGCGAUCAGCCAUAGUGUAACUGAAAA